rnacentral:rRNA from 1 species
AACGAACGCUGGCGGCAGGCCUAACACAUGCAAGUCGAACGCCGUAGCAAUACGGAGUGGCAGACGGGUGAGUAACGCGUGGGAACAUACCCCUCGGUUCGGAAUAACUCAGGGAAACUUGAGCUAAUACCGGGAUACGUCCGAGGUUUUAAUCGGCCUUGGAGAAAGAUUUAUCGCCGGAGGAUUGGCCCGCGUCUGAUUAGCUUGUUGGUGAGGUAAUGGCUCACCAAGGCGACGACAGUAGCUGGUCUGAGAGGAUGAUCAGCCACU